rnacentral:tRNA from 1 species
GAUAAAGUGGCCGAGAAUUAGGCGGUAAACUGUAAAUUUACAUACGAAAUAUUUUUUCCUUUGUCA